UACGGAGGGUGCGAGCGUUGUCCGGAAUCACUGGGCGUAAAGGGCGCGUAGGCGGCCUGGUAAGUAGGGGGUGAAAUCCUGCGGCUUAACCGCAGGGCUGCCUUCUAAACUGUCAGGCUCGAGCACGGUAGAGGCAGAUGGAAUUCCCGGUGUAGCGGUGGAAUGCGUAGAUAUCGUAAGGAAGGCCGGUGGCGAAAGCGAGCCUCUGGACAGUUACUGACGCUGAGGAGCGAAAGCGUGGGGAGCGAACAGG
rnacentral:rRNA from 1 species